CUGAGUCUUUGGGACCUUCACUUCCUGUACUUCACUUCCUUCAUGACUUUGAACUCACCACAGAGUGCGGCUCUGCUUCCAUGGUGGCCCAAGACAAAAGCUGCAUGAAGAUGAUUACACUGACCAAACAAGACUACUGUCAGAUGAACUCACUGCAAAUACGAUUUCUGCCCUUGAUGACUGUUUGUUACUCUGUGGAUGUGUCUUCAGUCUCCUGUCUCUUCCAGACAAAAAUAAACAUGGUAAACAUCAACACUUAUUACAGUGGUAAGUGGAUCUUGCAUGCAUUAAAUGUAAAGAUUUCUGCACAUUUAAGUAACAUAUUUUACUCCUUCAGAUUUCGCACACCAAGACGCCACAGUGCCAACAUGCUCUUCCUCAGUUGACUCGAAAUGUCACUUAAAAAAAUCCUUCAAAUGGGAGCUUCUUGUUGUGCAGAUCUUGUUUUUACUUUCCAUGCCUGCUCAAUAACUAAUCAAGAAGGUGAUUCAAGUUUUAACAUACUAAGCCGUCUUUUUUUGUCUUCUGUUUUUUUGUUUCUCAACAAUAGUCGAAGAGAGCCAAUUUCUUCUGUCGUCGUAAGAUGCUUCACAGAGGCUUUGCCCGAGAACUUUACUUGGAUGCAUUUCCAUGUUUCUUCUAUUUUCUAAAAUAUUUGUCUUGUUAUUUUGACUUAGUUGACUUCUCUUUGAUUCCCAGACUUAGCAGACUUCUUCAUGUUUGAUGAGGCUGAGAAAUUUGCCAACACAUUUGAGCUGGAUUUAGAGGUAAGUGUCUGACUCAGUCUGCGUCUGUCUAUCUGUCUAUCUCGGCUUUAUUGUACACUGCAAUGAAAAAUGUAUUGAUGCGUUAUUCUGGGAAGAAGGAUAUUUUCUGAUUCACAUUUAUUUCAAUUUUAUUUUGUAUCGCACUGUAUUAAAAAUGGUUUUACAGUCAUUAUUAAUGAGACAGCUUCCAGAGUGAUUUUUUUUCCAUUUCUGUAGGAUUAUAUUAAAUUCAGCAAUGUUUUUGGAUUCAAAAAGAACGCAAAAUGGGAUGACCAUGUCUGUAAAUACAGGUGUCUAUAACUUAACACUUACGUCUGCAGCCCUAUAGCCUACCCUGACCUAUGUUUUAAUUUUGUUCUUUCUAAGAAGGAUUAUUAUGAUUCCAAAGAGGUGGAGAAUCUAAAGUCCC